UACGGGGGGGGCAAGCGUUGUUCGGAAUUACUGGGCGUAAAGGGCUCGUAGGCGGCCAACUAAGUCGGACGUGAAAUCCCCGGGCUCAACCCGGGAACUGCGUCCGAUACUGGAAGGCUUGAAUCCGGGAGAGGGAUGCGGAAUUCCAGGUGUAGCGGUGAAAUGCGUAGAUAUCUGGAGGAACACCGGUGGCGAAGGCGGCAUCCUGGACCGGCAUUGACGCUGAGGCGCGAAAGCCAGGGGAGCAAACGGG
rnacentral:rRNA from 1 species